GUCUUUUAAUUGAAGACUUGUAUGAAUGAUUUGAUGAAAUAUAAACUGUCUCUUUAUUAAAAAUAGAAUUUAAUUUUUUAGUUAAAAAGCUAAAAUUUAUUUAAAAGACGAGAAGACCCUAUAGAGUUUUAUAUUUAAAAUUAUAUUAAUUUUGUAUAAAAUUUUUAUUUAAUAUUUUUUUAAGUAUUUUAUUGGGGUGAUAGAAAAAUUUAAUAAACUUUUUUUAAAAAUUUUACAUUAAUAUAUGAAAUUUUGAUCCAUAAUUUAUGAUUAAAAGAUUAAAUUACCUUAGGGAUAACAGCGUAAUUUUUUUUUUUAGUUCUUAUAAGAAAAAAAGUUUGCGACCUCGAUGUUGGAUUAAG
rnacentral:rRNA from 10 species